AGGACGAACGCUGGCGGCGUGCUUAACACAUGCAAGUCGAGCGGAAAGGCCCUUCGGGGUACUCGAGCGGCGAACGGGUGAGUAACACGUGAGCAACCUGCCCUUAGCUUCGGGAUAGCUCCGGGAAACCGGAAUUAAUACCGAAUAUGACUUUGGCUGACAUCAGCAGAAGUGGAAAGUUUUUCGGCUAGGGAUGGACUCGCGGCCUAUCAGCUAGUUGGUGAGGUAACGGCCCACCAAGGCGACGACGGGUAGCCGGCCUGAGAGGGCGACCGGCCACACUGGGAUUGAGAACGGCCCAGACUCCUACGGGGGGCAGCAGUGAGGAAUUUCGUCAAUGGGGGCAACCCUGAACGAGCAACGCCGCGUGCAGGAAGAAGGUUUUCGGAUCGGUAAACUGCUUUUCUCGGGGAAGAGAACGGACGGUACCCGAGGAAUCGAGCCCCGGCUAACUACGUGCCAGCAGCCGC
rnacentral:rRNA from 1 species